GGGAGUGGAUGUCGCCCGGUGGCGGCCCUGGUCUUCAAAAUCAGUGGGCGGUGGCGAGCAGCCGGCGCCGGUGGGUUCGACUCCCAUUCAUUCCCG
rnacentral:tRNA from 1 species